CAUUCGAGUGGCGGACGGGUGAGUAACGCGUGGGUAACCUGCCUUACACAGGGGGAUAACACCUGGAAACAGGUGCUAAUACCGCAUAAGCGCACAGGGCCGCAUGGCCCGGUGUGAAAAACUCCGGUGGUGUAAGAUGGACCCGCGUCUGAUUAGCUUGUUGGCGGGGUAGGGGCCCACCAAGGCGACGAUCAGUAGCCGGCCUGAGAGGGUCGAACGGCCACAUUGGGACUGGGACACGGCCAAACUCCUACGGAAGGCAGCAG
rnacentral:rRNA from 1 species